rnacentral:rRNA from 1 species
CCAAGGCGACGAUCGGUAGCCGGCCUGAGAGGGUGAUCGGCCACAUUGGGACUGAGAUACGGCCCAGACUCCUACGGGAGGCAGCAGUAGGGAAUAUUGCACAAUGGGGGAAACCCUGAUGCAGCAACGCCACGUGUGGGAAGAAGCAUUUCGGUGUGUAAACCACUGUCAUGAGGGAAUAAGGCCCGCCUUCGGACGGGAUUGAAUGUACCUUGAAAGGAAGCACCGGCAAACUUCGUGCCAGCAGCCGCGGUAAUACGAGGGGUGCAAGCGUUGUUCGGAAUUACUGGGCGUAAAGGGAGCGUAGGCGGAGAUUCAAGCGGAUUGUACAAUCCCGGGGCCCAACCCCGGCUCUGCAGUCCGAACUGGAUCUCUU